CUUUUUGCUGCUUUGCGCCUCUGUCCUGUGGCCCUGCGCCCUCUGUAACCUCCGCAAGGCAGGUUCUAGCCCUGCCGGUUUGGCCCCAAGGAGGGAAAUGGGGGCCUCUGCAGGGAGUGACCGCCUCUCACCUCUGCCCCCUGCAAAGCCCCCCAGCCACUGCUGUCUUCUACUCCUCCACCCAGGUGGGCGGGAACCCCUGGGUCUCAGGACGGCCCCUGGCCAGUCUUGUGGUGGGAGAGCAAGGCUCCCGCCGCCAAAGAGGCCCAGGGGUCAAAGCGAGGAGAGCCAAGCAGAGAGCGACAGCCAUGAGGCAGCUGUCACCCCACGUCAGGGUGCUAGGGAGUGGCAGGGACUGCGGCAGAGUGGAGAGCAUUGCCUUCCACGGCUGAAUCCACACCAGGCAGAAAGGGUGGGGACAGGAUCUGGGGGACAGGCAGCAUUAGGGCUCACUGGAUCCAGGCCCAGGUGUCGGAGUGCCACGCCCCAUUCCCACCUGCGGACACAGGGUGAGCGUUUGCUCUGAGGCUGCCGGCUGCUCGUGGCUCCUGACCCUGCACUCACCUCAGGACUUGGCCCAGGUUUCCCUGCCCGCUGCGAGCCCCCACAGGUGAGGAUCCAGCAUUUCCUGCUGUUCACUCAGCUCCACACCCCUGACAGCACGGCAGGCAUAGAGUGGGUGCUGAAAGCCUGGGCUCCAGGAAUCAGCAGAUUUAAUAGUGGGGUCAACCAAAUGGCAGACUCUUUGCAUGGCACAAAUAGAGAUUUGUAAGAAUUUAAAUUUCACAUGUCAGCUUCCAUGUGAGGCCAGCAGCCACCCAGUUCACAUUCUUUACCUCUGUUUCCUGCUCAGUAAAUCAGGGAAAUGGAACAAAACCUUCUUUGUCAAAAAUUCCUCCAAAACCAAGCCAGCCUCAAGACACCAGCAAGGUCAGUGUAUCAGUUAGCUUCUGCUGUGUAACAAACUGCCCCCCAAAAUGUGGUGUUUAAAACAAUACCUGUUUUAAUGAGCUCUUGAGGCUGUGGAUUGGCUGGGGUGCUGGAUGGCUACAGUGCUUUUCUGGUCUGGGGAGGCUGAACUGGGCUGCACGGUCGGGG
rnacentral:lncRNA from 1 species